rnacentral:rRNA from 1 species
UACGUAGGCAGCAAGCGUUGUUCGGAGUUACUGGGCGUAAAGGGUGUGUAGGCGGCUGGAUAAGUGUGGUGUGAAAUCUCCCGGCUCAACUGGGAGGGUGCGCUACAAACUGUCUGACUAGAGUGUGGGAUGGGAAAGUGGAAUUCCUGGUGUAGCGGUGAAAUGCGUAGAUAUCAGGAGGAACACCGGUGGUGUAGACGGCUUUCUGGACCAUAACUGACGCUGAGACCCGAAAGCGUGGGUAGCAAACAGG